GAUGAACGCUAGCGGCAGGCCUAACACAUGCAAGUCGAGGGGUAGAGGAAGCUUGCUUCCUUGAGACCGGCGCACGGGUGCGUAACGCGUAUGCAAUCUACCUUUUACAGAGGGAUAGCCCAGAGAAAUUUGGAUUAAUACCUCAUAGUAUUUUCGAAUGGCAUCAUUUGAUUAUUAAAGUUCCAACGGUAAAAGAUGAGCAUGCGUCCUAUUAGCUAGAUGGUAAGGUAACGGCUUACCAUGGCAACGAUAGGUAGGGGUCCUGAGAGGGAGAUCCCCCACACUCGUACUGAGACACCGACCAGACUCCUACAGGAGGCAGCAUUGAGGAAUAUUUGACAAUGGGCGCAAGCCUGAUCCAGCCAUGCCGCGUGCAGGAAGACGCAUCUAUGGUGUGUAAACUGCUUUUGUACGGGAAGAAACACUCCCUCGUGAGGGAGCUAGACGGUACCGUAAGAAUAAGGAUCGGCUAACUCCGUGCCAGCCGCCGCGGUAACAC
rnacentral:rRNA from 1 species